GACGAACGCUGGCGGCGUGCUUAACACAUGCAAGUCGAACGGAGAAUUUAUUUCGGUAAAUUCUUAGUGGCGAACGGGUGAGUAACGCGUGGGCAACCUGCCCUUCAGAUGGGGACAACAUCCCGAAAGGGGUGCUAAUACCGAAUACGAUCACGCUGCCGCAUGGCGGAGUGAUGAAAGAUGGCCUCUAUAUAUAAGCUAUCGCUGAAGGAUGGGCCUGCGUCUGAUUAGCUAGUUGGUGGGGUAACGGCCUACCAAGGCGAUGAUCAGUAGCCGGUCUGAGAGGAUGAACGGCCACAUUGGGACUGAGACACGGCCCAAACUCCUACGGGAGGCAGCAGUGGGGAAUAUACCGCAAUGGACGAAAGUCUGACGGAGCAACGCCGCGUGUGUGAUGAAGGUUUUCGGACUGUAAAACUCUGUUGUUUAGGACGAAAGUGCCUGUUGCAAAUAGUUGCAGGUAUUGACGGUACUGAACGAGGAAGCCACGGCUAACUACGUGCCAGCCGCCGCCGUAA
rnacentral:rRNA from 1 species